GUGGGGAAUAUUGCGCAAUGGGCGAAAGCCUGACGCAGCGACGCCGCGUGGGUGAUGAAGGCCUUCGGGUCGUAAAGCCCUGUCGGGAGGGAAGAAACCUCAGCGACCCAAUACGUCGCUGACCUGACGGUACCUCCGAAGGAAGCACCGGCUAACUCCGUGCCAGCAGCCGCGGUAAUACGGAGGGUGCGAGCGUUGUUCGGAAUCACUGGGCGUAAAGCGCGUGUAGGCGGCUUCGUAAGUCUGGUGUGAAAGCCCGGGGCUCACCCCCGGAAGUGCACUGGAAACUGCGAAGCUAGAGUACCGGAGAGGAGGGUGGAAUUCCUGGUGUAGCGGUGAAAUGCGUAGAUAUCAGGAGGAACACCGGUGGCGAAGGCGGCCCUCUGGACGGAUACUGACGCUGAGACGCGAAAGCGUGGGGAGCAAACAGGAUUAGAAACCCUAGUAGUCC
rnacentral:rRNA from 1 species